UACAGAGGCCUCGAGCGUUAGGCGGAAUCACUGGGCUUAAAGCGUGUGUAGGCGGACUUCUAAGUACCUUGUGAAAUCCCACGGCUCACCCGUGGAACUGCUCGGUAUACUGGUCGUCUUGAGCCUUCUAGGGGCGAGUGGAACAAAUGGUGGAGCGGAGAAAUGCGUAGAUAUCAUUUGGAACGCCAAUGGUGAAAACAACUCGCUGGGGAAGUGCUGACGCUGAGACACGAAAGCCAGGGGAGCGAACGGG
rnacentral:rRNA from 1 species